rnacentral:rRNA from 1 species
GAUGAACGCUGGCGGCGUGCUUAACACAUGCAAGUCGAACGAACGACUAUUAACAGAACCUUUCGGGGCGAAGAUGAUAGAAGUUAGUGGCGGACGGGUGCGUAACGCGUGGGUAAUCUGCCUUUGUCAAAGGAAUAACUAUUCGAGAGAAUAGCUAAAACCGUAUAACAUAUUAAUAGGGCAUCCUAAUAAUAUCAAAACGAUAGUGGACAAAGAUGAGCCCGCGUCUGAUUAGCUAGUUGGUGAGAUAAAAGCCCACCAAGGCAACGAUCAGUAGCCGACCUGAGAGGGUGAACGGCCACAUUGGAACUGAGACACGGUUCAAACCCCUACGGGAGGCAGCAGUGGGGAAUAUUGCACAAUGGGGGGAACCCUGAUGCAGCAACGCCGCGUGAGUGAAGAAGGCAUUGCGUGUCGUAAAACUCUGUAGUAGGGGAAGAAGGAAAUGACAGUACCCUAAAAGAAAGCCCCGGCUAACUACGUGCCAGCAGCCGCGGUAAUACGUAGGGGGCAAGCGUUAUCCGGAAUAACUGGGCGUAAAGGGUGCGCAGGUGGUUUAACAAGUUAGUGGUGAAAGGCAUAGGCUCAACCAAUGUAAGCCAUUAAAACUGUUUAACUUGAGUGCAGGAGAGGAAAGUGGAAUUCCUAGUGUAGCGGUGAAAUGCGUAGAUAUUAGGAGGAAUACCAGUGGCGAAGGCGACUUUCUGGACUGCAACUGACACUGAGGCACGAAAGCGUGGGGAGCAAACAGGAUUAGAUACCCUGGUAGUCCACGCCGUAAACGAUGAGUACUAGGUGUCGGGUGAAGAACUCGGUGCCGAAGUUAACACAUUAAGUACUCCGCCUGGGGAGUACGCUCGCAAGAGUAAAACUCAAAGGAAUUGACGGGGACCCGCACAAGCAGCGGAGCAUGUGGUGUAAUUCGAAGCAAACGCGAAGAACCUACCUAAACUUGACAUACCAAUGACAG